AUUAUAUAUUAUCAAAUCCAGAUGCACAGAGGGCAGCUUUUAGUUCAUCUAGUCAGCACGAUUUUAUUUCCCGGAAAGCCUCAGUAUAGUUUCAAGAGAUACUGACUAUAAAAUUGAUUUACCACGAUAUUUGAUAUUUCAGGCAGAUUAUUAGUUACCGAACAGUCCAGCCUUCAGGAAAUGUUGGAUAGUUGUGACAGAUUUUUCCCGAUAUCCUAUUUUUUUCUAGAUUUCGCUAGAUGCUAGUUGUCAGAUAUUGUUGCCCUUCUCUCUGCCCCAAGAAUUGCUGGACGGUAUUCCGCUCUGCACUUCUUAAAUUCAAUAAGAUUACCUAUUGUGGUGUUACGUCGAAAGCUAUUCAAGGCCGUCUUUUUAAUUAAUUUCUUUUAUUUCCGAUGUUCACCAUGGCACCAUCCUAGUAGCCACCCCUGGUUUCGAUUUUGGUAUAGAACAGACUGUAGUAUUUAAUAUUGCCGCAGUUAAGGUCUCAAGAUUUAGUACGUUUUCAUUUGGAGGUAUUAAUUGUUCGGAACAGCGUUCCCAAUUGACUUGACAGACUUGACCGCUAGGUUUUCACCUAGAACAGUGAUGAUAAUGGAAACUGUUGGUCACCGUUGAAAAGUUCACUUACUACUUCUCAUUUCAGGUUCUUAUGAACGGUCGUCGAGCAUAAACACAUCCUUUCAAUGCACAAACAAUGAAUUUUGAAAGUUUGGUGGCUACGUUCAUUGUGACUUAGUUCGAAGGCUUACUGACCUGCCACAUCAAAAAUUAAGACGAAGCAAUAGACCAUACCGUCCCUGCCAAUACGAAGCGAAGUAAAUGCUUGGUAUGGAGCCAGUUUUCGAGCUUUUGCGAAGAAUAGAAGUACAAGCUGGAAGAGUCAACAACCAAGGAGAAAUUGGGUGAAAUUUGUCCAGUUAGAAUAUUUAGAAAACUCCGGGAGAGAAGAACGAAGUUAAUUCCAAGCAAAAAAUUGCUUUUGAUUUGACAUCAAAUCCUAAUUGGUAAAAUGAGAAUUCUAGAGGAUGGUAUGAAAACUUGCCUGUGGGACGGAAUGAGAGGAUCCUGGAUGUCUGCUUCCGCUAGAUUGGAAUUGACAUAAAGAAAGUUAAAGUUACCAAUCAUUCGAUUAGAGCAAGUGCGGUCUAACAAUUUAGCAAAGCAGGACGUCGGCGAAGAGCAACUCAUAAAAGUUACGAGACACAGCAGUGCUCAUUCUAUUCGAGCCUACAACUGGAUUAGAAAAAAGUGCGAUUUGGUCGAUAUUUUGAGAAUGCGGCUGUCAAUGUUUUUCUGUUUUCACCAUUGUAAUUAGCGUAAAAAACACACUAGCUCUCAAAUUUAACCGCCCUGGUAUCUCUUAAUCUCUUAUAAUAACUAAGUGGCAAGUUAGCCAUAGUACCUACCUAUAGGUACCUACCGCCUUAACUUUGAACGCCCUGUAUACUGACUUAAAGAAACUACCAUGCAUAUAUCUAAGUAGUUGGUAGUUCCUUUGUAAAUUGUAUUGGCCAUCAUUUCGAUCAAAAAAUAACUAGAUAUUAAUUACGUUUUGAAGUAAAUUGCGUUUCAGCGACGAAGUAGAAAGGUUUCUUUUUUUCUAUAAAUUACACAAAAAAUCUUAGUUCAACCUUCAUCACGUUUUCCCUUCCAACGAGAUGGUAUUUUCUUUUAAACUAGAAACUCGAAGUUUGACGGACAACUUUACGGUUGGGUGAACGGACAACGUUAAAUAUUCAACGCGGCAGACGAGCAUGAAGCCCUAAUAAACUUUUGUUUUCAUUUUUCAUUAACGUGUAAUACAUAGACCUGCAUAUUUUUAAAGUACUUUAAUGUGCUCUAAAUGUUGACCUUUUUAGCAAAACUCAU